GGAAACUUUACCACUAAUACUCCCGUUACUUAUCCCACCCAGCACCUUCUCACCGCCAUCAACUCCCAGCCAAACCCUAACGCCUUCUCAUCUAACAAAUCGAAGAAGCCUCGAAUUAAUCUGCAAGUGCCAGGAUUGUAUGUUGGUGUAGUCCUGCAUUUUACCGUUCUUGCACUAUCCACCGUCAGGUUGUAUAUGUGUUUUUUACUCAAUGUAAGCACUUAUGGCUUCUAAGGACGGAGCAAUGCUUGUUUUGUUUUGCAAGACAAACCAAAUAUGUCACAAAGGUCUUGGAUGCAACUACCCAUGUCCAAGAUAUGUGGAGUAUAGAGAUUGCAUACUUGAUGAAUUGUGAUCAAUUCAUUUGGAACAUCUUGCAAUGAUGGAAAUGGUGCUCAGAUUACUACAUCCAAGUACGAUCAUGCGAGCAUAGUGUAUUGUUAAUUACUUUCGUGGAGUAAGCUUUGACAGUGAGACUUGAUACAUUUUAUUUCUGAUUUCACAGUUAUCAAAUGCAUAUUAGUAUUUUAAUACUUUUAAAAUUUAGAUUGUUUCGCACAGCGAAGCUUGAUACAUAUAUAAUUUUGCUUUCUUUAUUAUGUUUGGGACUCCAUAUAAGGAUUUGUAUAUUCCCUAGGUGUUGACUAAGUUUUUUAACAAGUGCCACCAAGGAGUCCCAUGUCAAUAUAUUGCCCUGUUUCCUUUACAUGUCUUUGUCUAAUUGAUUGGUUUUGUUUAAAUUUUGAUUUAAUUGUGUAUUAGAUGCAGGGAACUGAGUUGCUUGGACGAUCGUAAUGGUUUAAAUCUUGGAAUGUAGUUUUGUAGGAUAUUUUUAACACUUCAUAUUCGAAUGUUGUAUGACUUCUAUUUUAUUGAAAGUAUUAAGUAAAUUGAUGAUA